rnacentral:rRNA from 1 species
AGCACCACAACGGGUGGAGCCUGCGGUUAAUUGGACUCAACGCCGGGCAGCUCACCGGAUAAGACAGCUGGAUGAUAGCCGGGCUGAAGACUCUGCUUGACUAGCUGAGAGGUGGUGCAUGGCCGUCGUCAGUUCGUACUGUGAAGCAUCCUGUUAAGUCAGGCAACGAGCGAGACCCACGCCCACAGUUGCCAGCGUACUCUCCGGAGUGACGGGUACACUGUGGGACCGCCGCUGCUAAAGCGGAGGAAGGAAUGGGCAACGGUAGGUCAGUAUGCCCCGAAUAUCCCGGGCUACACGCGAGCUACAAUGGUUGGUACAAUGGGUAUCUACCCCGAAAGGGGACGGGAAUCUCCUAAAACCAAUCUUAGUUCGGAUUGAGGGCUGCAACUCGCCCUCAUGAAGCUGGAAUCCGUAGUAAUCGCGUUUCAACAGAACGCGGUGAAUACGUCCCUGCUCCUU